CAGCGUUCUCAGGGCGGGGUGGAAGUCCCCACCGGCGGUAUCCGGGGCGCGGUCGACAGACCGACGACCCCGGGAGCCCGCGAGCGCCCGGCACCGCCCUUGUGGUGCCGGGGUCAGCAGACCUGGUGAGAGGCCAGGGCCGACGGUCACAGUCCGGAUGAAAGAGAUCGCGU
rnacentral:ncRNA from 2 species